rnacentral:rRNA from 1 species
AAUUUUUGUCAAAUCUGAAUCAAACUAAGAAAUAAGUUAAAACUUUCAACAACGGAUCUCUUGGUUCUGGCAUCGAUGAAGAACGCAGCGAAAUGCGAUAAGUAAUGUGAAUUGCAGAAUUCAGUGAAUCAUCGAAUCUUUGAACGCACAUUGCGCCCAUUAGUAUUCUAGUGGGCAUGCCUGUUCGAGCGUCAUUUCAACCCUUAAGCCUAGCUUAGUGUUGGGAGACUGCCUAAUACGCAGCUCCUCAAAACCAGUGGCGGAGUCUGUUCGUGCUCUGAGCGUAGUAAUUUUUUAUCUCGCUUCUGCAAGCCGGCCAGACGACAGCCAUAAACCGCACCCUCUCGGGGGGCACUUUUUUAAUGGUUGACCUCGGAUCAGGUAGGAAUACCCGCUGAACUUAAGCAUAUCAAUAAGCGGAGGAAAAGAAACCAACAGGGAUUGCCCUAGUAACGGCGAGUGAAGCGGCAACAGCUCAAAUUUGAAAUCUGGCCUUCUGGUCCGAAUUGUAAUUUGUAGAGGAUGCUUUUGGUUAGGUACCUUUCGAGUUCCUUGGAACAGGACGCCUUAGAGGGUGAGAGCCCCGUACGAUUGGAUACCGAGCCUCUGUAAAGCUCCUUCGAC